ACAUCACAGAGGGUCACUACAUCUAACAACAAACAAUCCUGCAACCAGCAACAGUGAAUCCGGUGAUGUUACGGAGGGCCACUUCAUCUAGCAACAGCAUUCAUGGACUACACUGCAAGGCAAAUAUCAGGACAAGUGGAGAUGGAGGAGGAGAAAGUUUGGUUUCUGUAUGUGAAGUGGCUUUGAAGACUCCAUCUACUUUGCCUAGCUCAUUAUGGAGGCACUCGUAUGUGUGGUGCCAUUUCUGCAACAAAAUCAGACAAAAGAAGAAUAAAAGCGUGAGAACAGGUGCAGAAAUAAGAUGCCAGGGAACUUGUGUCCACAGUGCAAUCUGGAACAAGCUGAUCCACCCUUCCACCAUUUAGGAAGUGCAAGCAACUUCUGGUCACUUCUUAGAUCCAGCUGCUUUGAUUCAUUAAAGCUUAAGAGCAGAAUGAGCUGCUGCCAGCAUUCACAGAAGAGAAGACAAGAAAUCUUCUGUACUCAAGAAGCUUAAAUAUAUGAGCAUUUGCUGGAAAAGCUAUUUGGCAGAAUUAAUUGGUGCUAUCUUCUACUUUUUCUGCUCAAGCAGCAGAUCCAUGAAUACACACAGAGACUAGAAAUAUUUCUUUUUUGAACAACUGAUCAGCAGUAGAGUAAGAAUGGACAAAAGUGUCAUGUUCUUCAUCACAACAGAUAUGCAAUAUGAUGUGUUUCAUUAGAGGCUAUGCUUCUAGCUAUCAUAACUAACACAUCUCUAUAAAUAUUUUCUUAGAAAAGUCUAAAAUUCCAUUUAACAAUGGCAAGUAACUGCAGUGGGUCUGUGGAGGGUAGACGGGUGAUGGUCUUAUUUUACUGAUAUUUUAUGCUUUUGUUAAUUUGCAAGCCUCUUUUGAAACACAAUAUUGGAGAAAAGCCUGUUAAACAUGCAUAUGUUGAAAAAAGCAAACAGGCUGGAUGAUCAUGUGUCAGGGUUUUUUAUCAUGCUUUUCCUGCAUGUCAGGGGGUUGGACUGGAGGGCCCAUGUGGUCUCUGCCAAUUCUAUGAUCUUAAGUCCACUUCUGGAUUUGGUAUUUAGUUAUUUUUAAUGUUAAAUAGCACAUAUAAUAAUGAUGGGGACUGUAAAGAUGUCAGGAUCAUUGUGUUUUAUUCAUGAUUGCUAUGUUUAGGUUGACUGUUUAAGGUUAUAUAUUUCAGCUAUUCUUAUACAGAAGCUGGGAGCCUCUAAGGCAUGGCCAGGAAAAGGGGCGUGGCUUCACCUUGCUGGUGGAAGCCUUAGAAUUCAAAUUUAGCAGUUGGAAUUGGGCAGUUGGAGUUUGUCGGUUGACCAGGGCAGUUGGUUCUGUUCAGUGGGAAAGGAGUGAGAUCGAGAGAAGAGAUUGUGGGAAGAAGUUGAGCAGCUAGAGAGUUUUAGCGGAGAAGGGCUAAAAUUAAAGUUGCUGAGCCUUUAGUAGGGAUAACUAAAGAGCUGAGGCUACAUCCCUAAGUCAAGGAGGACUAGGGUUAACCAGUUAAACUCCCCAGUCCAAGUUUGAUCGUGUACAGAUCAACUAAGUUCAAGAAGGACAGUAUUCCUAACUGAAAGAAACAAGUCAUAUAAAGCUGAUACCAUACUAAGCUCAGAGAAACUAUUGAGAAAUCUUGCAACACUUACUGUACAGAAGUAACAUCGUUCACCUCAAGAUAUAACAUUCUUGCGACUAUCAAGCUUUGUGCUAUAAAUAAACAAGUUACUGUUUCUUCAAUUGUUGCUUAUUAUUUGAGCAAAGUAUCUUUCAAAGGUGGUAGCAGCGACAACAUUGAAAAGUGGAAUACAUAGAGGUAGAAGUUGAAUCCUUCGCAAUUUGGUGGCAGCGGUGGGAUCCAAAAAGAUUCCAUCCCUGUCAUCAUACUUCUUUACAGGGACAAACACCAAAUAGUCCAAAGGGAGAUCAGGCUAGCUGCCUCCCUCCAAAGCUUCCACACACACUUAAGGCAUGGCUUUUCCAACAAGCCUUUGACUAUGUUUAGAUUCUUUAAUGAAUUAUAUGAGGACCUUCAGAUUCUUUAGCACUUUACAAUUGUGUGAUUCAAUAUUACUGUUUUACCAACAGCAAUUGCUGUAUUUAUUGUUUUUACUAGGGGGUACUGUGAAUUUACGAUGUUAUAUUGAGUAUGUUUUUAUGCUGACUAUGUUUAUGUUUUGUUUUGUACUUGUUGUAGUUUGCAUUUACACUUUGAGUGUUUUGUGUGUCGCCCUGAGUAUCUCUGGGAGAUGGUGGUGGGGUAUAAAUAAUGAUGAUGAUGAUGAUGAUGAUGAUGAUGAUACUUA